ACCGCCCGUCGCUACUACCGAUUGAAUGGCUCAGUGAGGCCUUCGGACCGGCUCAGGGAGGUCGGCAACGACCACCCAGAGCCGGAAAGUUGGUCAAACUCGGUCAUUUAGAGGAAGUAAAAGUCGUAACAAGGUCUCCGUAGGUGAACCUGCGGAGGGAUCAUUA
rnacentral:rRNA from 1 species